GGGUUGAAUCCCUAGCAUUACAAACAAUAAACUAAAAAAGUCAAUCUACUACAUGAAGAAUGAAACGUCACUCUUAAAAAAUUGUUGUUUUGGCACAACUUACCAUUCCUUUACUAACACACAUCUCAAUUAAUUGUCUACAAAAUUCAACAGGCAAAUUUCGGUUGACCUGCAAAGAGAAGUUCACACACGUCCAGAAUUCCACUCUCCCACCA
rnacentral:misc_RNA from 1 species